UCAUCCUACGGGGGGCAGCAGUAGGGAAUUUUCGUCAAUGGGCGCAAGCCUGAACGAGCAAUGCCGCGUGAACGAGGAAGGUCUUCGGAUCGUAAAGUUCUGUUGAAGGGGAAAAAGAGCGGAGAGAGGAAAUGGUCUCCGAUUGAUAUUACCCUUCGAGGAAGUCACGGCUAACUACGUGCCAGCAGCCGCGGUAAUACGUAGGUCCCGAGCGUUGUCCGGAUUUAUUGGGCGUAAAGCGAGCGCAGGUGGUUUCUUAAGUCUGAUGUAAAAGGCAGUGGCUCAACCAUUGUGUGCAUUGGAAA
rnacentral:rRNA from 1 species